UCAUGAUCUACGAAGAUCCAACCGUCCAAACUCAAAUCCGACUUCGGUAACGUGAUCUACAAAGUUCGAUCUACGUUUCUACCGAUCGUUUUGAGGCUUUGUGUUAUUUGGAGCUUGCAAAGAUUCCCCAAACACCGGGUAUUAUUUGGACAUUGAUGCUUUGGUUGCAGGUUCUGCGGAUAUAGAUAUUGACUUGUUCACCUAGUGUAUGAGAUGCUAUGAUUGGAGCACAUCGCGACAGUCAUAAGUUAUGGACUCAUGGGUAGUCCGUAUUUUGGGCAUUCUAUUUUUAUGGCUCUUGUUUUAUGUGGCUUAUGUAUUUAUUGAGCCCGUAUUUUAGUAUGUAAUUAGUGUAAUAUGUUUUAUAAACCUUAAAUAGAUAGACUCGUAAAUGGCUCUCGUUGUUGUAAUUAACAGUUAUGUAUUAGAUGUAUUUUCGCUUA